rnacentral:rRNA from 2 species
UGGGGAAUUUUGCGCAAUGGGCGAAAGCCUGACGCAGCAACGCCGCGUGCGGGAUGAAGGCCUUCGGGUUGUAAACCGCUUUCAGCAGGGAUGAAACUGACAGUACCUGCAGAAGAAGCCCCGGCUAACUACGUGCCAGCAGCCGCGGUAAUACGUAGGGGGCAAGCGUUAUCCGGAUUCAUUGGGCGUAAAGAGCGCGUAGGCGGCUUGUUAAGCGAGAUGUGAAAACCGGGGGCUUAACCCGCGGCCUGCAUCUCGAACUGGCAGGCUUGAGUCUGGUAGAGGAGUGUGGAAUUCCCAGUGUAGCGGUGAAAUGCGCAGAUAUUGGGAGGAACACCAGUGGCGAAGGCGGCACUCUGGGCCACGACUGACGCUGAGGCGCGAAAGCUAGGGGAGCAAACAGG